UACGUAGGGUGCGAGCGUUGUCCGGAAUUAUUGGGCGUAAAGAGCUCGUAGGCGGUUUGUCGCGUCUGCUGUGAAAACUCGGGGCUUAACCCCGAGCCUGCAGUGGAUACGGGCAGACUAGAGGUAGGUAGGGGAGAAUGGAAUUCCCGGUGUAGCGGUGAAAUGCGCAGAUAUCGGGAGGAACACCGGUGGCGAAGGCGGUUCUCUGGGCCUUACCUGACGCUGAGGAGCGAAAGCGUGGGGAGCGAACAGG
rnacentral:rRNA from 1 species